rnacentral:lncRNA from 1 species
ACAAGUACCCUCUCCCAACAUUUGUUCACUGUUGUGGUCUCUGGUCCUCCGAUCAAAUUCUGGUGAAACCAAAUUCGAAAUCCCUUUCCAUAUAACUUGUCCAUCGACUUCCUCGGACAAUUCCGCUUCCGUAGUUUCUUUUAUAAAGUGAAAAUAAAUUAAGCAUUUCUUAAACACUCCUAGCUCAAACUAGUUCAGGUUGACGAAGACAUUCCUC